CCCCCACAUCGCCCUCGCGAAGGCGGGGGCCUAUACCACGCUACCGAAUUCGGCGACGUGGUAUAGGCCCCCGCCUUCGCGAGGGCGAUGUGGCUA
rnacentral:pre_miRNA from 1 species